rnacentral:rRNA from 1 species
CAGCAGCCGCGGGAAUACAGAGGGUGCAAGCGUUAAUCGGAUUUACUGGGCGUAAAGGGCGCGUAGGUGGUUAUUUAAGUGAGAUGUGAAAGCCCCGGGCUUAACCUGGGAACUGCAUCUUAUACUGGGUAACUGGAGUGCAGUAGAGGGUAGUGGAAUUUCCGGUGUAGCGGUGAAAUGCGUAGAUAUCGGAAGGAACACCAGUGGCGAAGGCGGCUACCUGGACUGAGACUGACACUGAGGCGCGAGAGCGUGGGGAGCAAACAGGAUUAGAUACCCCCGUAGUCCCUGUCUCUUAUAU